rnacentral:lncRNA from 1 species
UAUGUGAAAACCUCUAUAUUUCCCUCAAUAAACUCCAUUUAUGUGCCUUAAGAACAGAUGCCACUUAUAGCUUUGCCAUACUAUGAUUUUUAUUGCACCCAUAAAGACUCAAAAUUGUGCUAAUUGAUUGGCCUAUAAAAAUAGACUGAACCACAUGUGGGGUGUUACAAGCAUUCUUUAUGAGCAGCUGCUGGGAAUAUACUGGGGUGUGGGGACCAGAGAAGAUGUGGAUUUAUUACCAUGAGAGAUUUUUUUUUUUCUCUUCUUCUUGGAAAAAGGCUCAACUCUGGUGAAAAGGGCAGAUUCUAUUUUGAUUUGUGAGGCCAUCAGGAUGAGUAACUACAAGAAAAAGCAUUUUUCCUAAAAGGUUUGUUGGGCUAUGUUACAGGCUUUUGCAUGAACCAAUGAAACUCCACCAGUGGGGAGCAGAGAAGACCUAAGAAAACUUGUGGGCAUACUGUCAUGCUGUGUCUCUGUCCUGUACAGAUCAUUUAUCUGCAUAGUUGGAUCACAGACAACCUUCUUACAGCUGAAGACCAUAGCGAAUACUCCAUAUCUCCAGGGACUAUAGGACUGGAUUCAUCAUAGGGGGAGAAAGAAAAGAAAAGCUAUUUCAUUCUAAUGGAAAUUUCAUAAUGAAUUUCAGAGACUACAUUUUCAUAUUCAAUUUUCAAGACCAAUUUAAAAGAAUACAUUUAUUUCCUUACCUUCAGCCAUCCAGGGAGAAGUCCCCCCACUGCCUUCUGUGGCAGGUCACAAAUGCCAUCACUGAAAUCACCUUGAUGCCUGGCUUUGAAGAAAGUGGAUGAUGAAGAGAAGGGCCCUAAUAGCCACAGCUAGUACCUAAACCAAUAACUGUGCAAUUACAGUUUAGAUGAUGAUUUAAUAUCUAAGGCCAUCCCAAAAGCAUGUUCAUUUGGGAGCACACUGAAGCCAGAUGGGGUGAAAUCCUCUCAAAAAGGGAACUGUGGACCAAAGGGUAGGCAUUUUGAGUAAAUGAAAAGCCGCUAGCAGUAUUUACCUUCCAGCUUCACUCUCAAAAUCAGAAACUGCUGAUGUAGAAAUAUUCCAAUGCUGUCGAUUGUGAAGCUAGAGCCCUCCAGGGAAAGGAAGUACUGUUUAUUGGACAGGAUGAGAAAGCAAAAUAUUGCAGAGACACUGAAAUAACCAGAUGAUAUGCACCUCCAAGAACCAGUCUUGAAAUCUCUCUGUCCUCUGGGCCACCCGCCUCCCACCCACCGUAUGUGAACACGCUCAUGUUUGCCUAUGACGAUGCUGAUGAAAUUGUACUCCAUUCAACCAACUUCAAGCCAGUUCAUUUGCCCCUAAGUAUUAAAAAUGGAUUUUUCUAAUCUGUUAUAUUCAGUAUGUUAUUUGAACAUGUAUGUCUCACAACACUCCAACGAAAGCUAAAGUUGAAUGAAAAGGAGUUACAUUUAGAAAAGAAUACUGAUUGUUUAAUGAAAACUUGACAGAU